CAGUAGCCGCGGGAAUACGUAGGGUGCAAGCGUUAAUCGGAAUUACUGGGCGUAAAGCGUGCGCAGGCGGUUCGCUAAGACAGAUGUGAAAUCCCCGGGCUUAACCUGGGAACUGCAUUUGUGACUGGCGGGCUAGAGUAUGGCAGAGGGGGGUAGAAUUCCACGUGUAGCAGUGAAAUGCGUAGAGAUGUGGAGGAAUACCGAUGGCGAAGGCAGCCCCCUGGGCCAAUACUGACGCUUAUGCACGAAAGCGUGGGGAGCAAACAGGAUUAGAUACCCGUGUAGUCCCUGUCUCUUAUAC
rnacentral:rRNA from 1 species